rnacentral:rRNA from 1 species
GAUGAACGCUGGCGGCAGGCUUAACACAUGCAAGUCGAGCGCCCCGCAAGGGGAGCGGCAGACGGGUGAGUAACGCGUGGGAAUCUACCGUGCCCUACGGAAUAGCUCCGGGAAACUGGAAUUAAUACCGUAUACGCCCUACGGGGGAAAGAUUUAUCGGGGUAUGAUGAGCCCGCGUUGGAUUAGCUAGUUGGUGGGGUAAAGGCCUACCAAGGCGACGAUCCAUAGCUGGUCUGAGAGGAUGAUCAGCCACAUUGGGACUGAGACACGGCCCAAACUCCUACGGGAGGCAGCAGUGGGGAAUAUGGGACAAUGGGCGCAAGCCUGAUCCAGCCAUGCCGCGUGAGUGAUGAAGGUCUUAGGAUUGUAAAGCUCUUUCACCGGUGAAGAUAAUGACGGUAACCGGAGAAGAAGCCCCGGCUAACUUCGUGCCAGCAGCCGCCGUAAAAC